AUCCUUGAUGAUUACUAUUGAUGUCAGAGGUCAAUUCAUGUGAGAGACAGUUUGAUCCUUUGCAAGCUGAAAUGUGAUGCUAAAAGAUUGAGAUAUGACACAGUUGGACUUCUGGAGUAUUUCUUGUCUAAAACAGAACCAUCACAAAAGCAUCCACCCCCAGCUCCUCAAACUCAAGUUUGUUUAACAAGAAAGAAAAUACGCUGUUAUGUGAAGUUUCUCCAGAGUGAGUCAUGAAUGGCA
rnacentral:lncRNA from 1 species